rnacentral:misc_RNA from 1 species
GACAAAAUGAAAUUAAAACUUGUAGCAGAGAGGGACUUUGUGAUGAUAUCUGCCAAUUGGAGUUGCGAGGGAGUGUGAAAUGCUGUGAGAAACCCAUCAGCUAUGUGCUGCCAAACAACAUGACAAUCUAUAUCGAUAUGUUUUGUUCGUUCGUGAAAUAUGGGGUUAUUACUGAUAUGUAUUGCAGCCUGAUUGUCACAAUGGAGUGGGAUUGGAGUUUGCAGUGAAAUUUUGAAAUCAGCAAGCAAAAAUGAAAUCCAUUUUAACUCACAAGUAGUGCUAGCCAUGCUGCGGUAUUUGGCUUUGGCAGAUGAACGACUUAUGGUCGGUUGUUUUUUACUUUUCCAUGAUACAAGAGCAGAGCCUAAGAAAAUGCAGUACUCUGUGAUAGAUCUUCUGCUUGUUGGGCACGCUGCCCAGUCAGCAUCACUAUAUGCAGUAAGAUGAAAGGAUGAGUUAGUGGAGAAAAACAACCCUUUUGAAGGACAUCCUCGCAAAUAUUUGAGGACUUGUAUAACAGCUUGUCAAUGGGAAACUCUGGGUGAUUGGAGAAACUGACUUAACUGCUGUACUAGUUAUGUAAUAUCAAGCCUUGUAAGGCCAAGAUACAGUAAUUUUCCAACAAUCCUUCUAUACUUUUCUGGUUCUGACAUGAGGUCACCCAUUUCAGCAGCCAAAUGGAGGGAUUUUGCCAUUGGGAAUGAAGCUGGUUUUGCAUUUGAGAGACCAGCAUCUUGUAACAUGUCUAAUAUGUAUUUUCUCUGACUAAUAAAUAAUUCAUCAGGAGAUCGGGCAAGUUCAAUUUCCAGGAAAUACUUUGCAUACCCCAUAUCUUUAAUUGUAAAUUCAUCAUUAAGGAAUUUCUUUAUGGAUGUAAUCAGAACUUCACUUGUUCCAGUAAUUAGGACAUCAUCCACGUAAACCAGUAGAGCUAGAAAUUCAUUUCCAGAGCAUUUUAUGAAUAAACAAUGAUCAGAGGUGGAUUGUGUGAAACCGAAACUUGUGAGUUUGCUGGUGAACUGUUUAUUCCAUUGCCUUCCGACCUGUUUCAGCCCAUAGAGAGAUUUCACAAGUUUACAAACUUGCCUGUUUUGCGCUUUUAUGUAAGCUUCAAGAGGCAUCAUAUAAAGAUCUUCAUCGAUGAAGCCAUGAAGAUAUGCAUUAUUUAUAUCCACCUGAUGUAUCGGCCAUCGUUUAGCUGUGGCGAUGGCUAAGAAAAUUCGUACAGUAACAAUUUUGGCAACUGGAGAGAAGCUAUCAACAUAGUCAAUUCCAGCUAUUUGAUUGUAGCCCUUGGCUGCCAAGCAUGCUUUAAAUCUAUCCACUGUGCCAUCCUGAUUGUAUUUGACAUGAUAAACCCACUUAGAAGCAAUGGGUUUUUUUCCUUCUGGAAGAGUUGUCAGUUGCCAAGUAUUGUUUCUUUCAAGUGCUUCUAGUUCUUGAUUCAUAGCAAGAGCCCAUCUAGGAUCAUCCUUAGCUUGAUGGUAAGAGUAUGGUUCUUUGACAGAAGACACAUUAACCAUGAAAGCAAUAUAGUUAUGGGUAAAAGUAGGAGUAGUAAUGAGUUUGUUGAAAGGAAAUGCCAUACCUGUAGAAUCGCUGUCCUUGGGAGAUGCCGCUAUUGGUAAGGAUUCUUCAUUUGUGAUAUGGGCUACAUAAUCUCGUAGCCAAGCUGGUCGUGUUGUAUGUCUAGUGCUCUUCCGUAAGGGUAUGGGCCGAUCAGUUGGGAGUGUGUAGUGAGAUGUAGGAGUGGAGUCAUUUUAUGGUGGAUGAAUGGUUAUGUUUUCUGGAGUAUUAUUGGUAGGUGUAUAAGUUUCACUUAGGGAGUUAGGUGACAUCACUGGUAAGGGAGUUUCAUUCUUAGAAGCUAGAUAUUGUGACCCAAUGGGGAAGACAUUUUUGUAAGGAAAGCUGGUUUCAUGGAAUAUCACAUCCCU